rnacentral:rRNA from 1 species
AUGUUACAAUACAAUGCUCAAGCUUGUGAUAUUCUCUUCAAUGGAUUGUGCCCCGAAGAAUUCAACAAAAUCAGCCGUCUUGAGAAUGCAAAGGAAAUUUGGGAUACUUUGAUUGAUAUGCACGAAGGUACCGACUCCGUCAAGGAAUCCAAAUUGGAUGUGCUUCAAAGUCAACUUGACAAGUUCAAAAUGAAGGAUGGUGAAGGUGUCGCUGAAAUGUACUCUAGGCUUGCUCUCAUCACAAAUGAGAUUGCCGGCUUAGGAAGUGAAGAGAUGACCGACAAAUUCAUCAUCAGGAAGAUCCUAAGAGCCUUGGAUGGAAAAUAUGUUGAUCCAAAUGAUGCCCAAUUACAAAGAUCUCAAGCCAACGGAAGUCAUUGGAAGAAUUGUUGCUCAUGA